rnacentral:rRNA from 1 species
AACGAACGCUGGCGGCAUGCCUAGCACAUGCAAGUCGAACGAGACCUUCGGGUCUAGUGGCGCACGGGUGCGUAACGCGUGGGAAUCUGCCCUCUGGUUCGGAACAACAGUUGGAAACGACUGCUAAUACCGGAUAAUGACUUCGGUCCAAAGAUUUAUCGCCUGAGGAUGAGCCCGCGUCGGAUUAGCUUGUUGGUGAGGUAAAAGCUCACCAAGGCGACGAUCCGUAGCUGGUCUGAGAGGAUGAUCAGCCACACUGGGACUGAGACACGGCCCAGACUCCUACGGGAGGCAGCAGUGGGGAAUAUUGGACAAUGGGCGAAAGCCUGAUCCAGCAAUGCCGCGUGAGUGAUGAAGGCCUUAGGGUUGUAAAGCUCUUUUACCCGGGAUGAUAAUGACAGUACCGGGAGAAUAAGCCCCGGCUAACUCCGUGCCAGCAGCCGCUGUAAGAC